AGCAAUUAUACCGCGAAACUGCGAAUGGCUCAUUAAAUCAGUUAUCGUUUAUUUGAUAGUACUUUACUACUUGGAUAACCGUGGUAAUUCUAGAGCUAAUACAUGCUAAAAAWCCCGACUCACGGAGGGWUGUAUUUAUUAGAUUAAAAACCAAUGCCCUUCGGGGCUUCUUGGUGAUUCAUAAUAACUGGUCGAAUCGCAGGGCCUUGCGCCGGCGAUGGUUCAUUCAAAUUUCUGCCCUAUCAACUUUCGAUGGCAGGGUAUUGGCCUGCCAUGGUUACAACGGGUAACGGAGGGUUAGGGCUCGACCCCGGAGAAGGAGCCUGAGAAACGGCUACUACAUCCAAGGAAGGCAGCAGGCGCGCAAAUUACCCAAUCCCGACACGGGGAGGUAGUGACAAUAAAUACUGAUACAGGGCUCUUUGGGGUCUUGUAAUCGGAAUGAGUACAAUUUAAAUCCCUUAACGAGGAACAAUUGGAGGGCAAGUCUGGUGCCAGCAGCCGCGGUAAUUCCAGCUCCAAUAGCGUAUAUUAAAGUUGUUGCAGUUAAAAAGCUCGUAGUUGAACCUUGGGCCUGGCUGGCCGGUCCGCCUCACCGCGUGCACUGGUUCGGCCGGGCCUUUCCCUCUGGGGAACCCCAUGCCCUUCACUGGGUGUGGUGGGGAACCAGGACUUUUACUGUGAAAAAAUUAGAGUGUUCAAAGCAGGCCUAUGCUCGAAUACAUUAGCAUGGAAUAAUAGAAUAGGACGUGUGGUUCUAUUUUGUUGGUUUCUAGGACCGCCGUAAUGAUUAAUAGGGACAGUCGGGGGCAUCAGUAUUCAAUUGUCAGAGGUGAAAUUCUUGGAUUUAUUGAAGACUAACUACUGCGAAAGCAUUUGCCAAGGAUGUUUUCAUUAAUCAGGAACGAAAGUUAGGGGAUCGAAAACGAUCAGAUACCGUUGUAGUCUUAACCAUAAACUAUGCCGACUAGGGAUCGGAUGAUGUUAUUUUUUGACUCAUUCGGCACCUUACGAGAAAUCAAAGUCUUUGGGU
rnacentral:rRNA from 1 species